rnacentral:lncRNA from 1 species
CCCAAUGAUUUUCCCAUCCUAACGACCCGAUACACUCACUACCUCUUCCAUUUUACAGAAACUUGAUUCCGAAUUCCUCUCCUCGGCCCAACCCCGCAACCACCUCCUCUUCAGAAAUUCAUCCCUUCAAUUAUCAGAGACAACCAUAUACUCCUCCAUCUUUAUUCACACAUCACGACCCACCUUCAACCUACAAAACCAAAUGCAAAUCCAGUGAAGAACACCCAAUCAGAAAACCAAGGUAUCCACCAUUUUCCCAACCUUAUCAACUCAACAAAAUCACCACCCCCCAUUCGGUCCAACACCUUUCCACCAUGUUCAUCUCAAUCAAACCUCCAUUUAUAUUGUUCUCCUAUUUUUCCCUGCAUUAAAAACAAAAAACAGAGAAGAUCAUUUCCCAUUACCUCCAAC